GGCGCCCGCUCCGCUCCUCCCCCGGUGCGGCUGCCCCGAGCCGCGCGUCCCCGCCUGCCCCGGGCCGUGCGCUGCCGCCGCGCUCGGUCGGGAGGAAAAAUCUGAGAAAAGCUCCAAAUAAUAAAAAGCAGCCCCAAAAAGGAGCUUCCCGGCCUCGCCGCCGGUAAAUCCCGGUGGAUGCUCCUCAAAGUUCGCAGCGCGGGCGCGGUGCGCCGCCGGUGCGCGCCUGGCGGGCGGGCUGCAGGGCAAAACCGGGGGGAAAAGGAGAAAAACGGGGAAAAGCCGUGAGAAAAGGGAAAAGAAUGGGGAAAAAACGCGUGCGGUCCCCAGCCCCCCCCCCCCCCCCCGCGGGAGGAGCGGGGGGAGCGCGGAGCCCCCCGGCUCGCUCGGGCCCGGCGGGCAGAGCUCCGCACCCGCGGAGCCCCGGCGGGGCGGGGAGAGGCGCAGCCCCGGGACCCCCGACCCUCUCCCGAGUUCCAAAAUGACCUUUCCCUGCAUCGUUUUGGAGGUAACCGAGCUGCGUAAUUAUAUUUGCACUUCCAGAAGACUGCAUCAGAGUCCCCUUAUUGGUUUGAAAUUCCAUUAAAUAUAUUGCAAGAGCUCCUAGGUUAAGCUUGAUUUAAAUUUGCAUACAUUUUCAUAUAUUUAGCAGAAAUAAAAGAAGGCUUGCAGCUACCAGAAAGUCAUUAAGGCAUUAGUUUCUCUGAGAAGACAGAUCUGAAGAAAAUUCAAGAAAAUGAGAAAAUAGAUCUAAAUAAGGGAGAGAGGAGGGAGAGAGCCACACUGCCAUCUCCGAGCCACAGCCAGGAGAUGGACUGACAGAUUGCAAAUUAAACUAGUCCUAAUGUAAGAAUGAAUGCGCCCCCCCCCCCCCCCCCCCCCCCAAAUCUCUCCCAGCACCAGCCCGGCAGCAAAGAGCCCGGCACGGAGGGAGCGUGGCUGCGGCUGGGCUGGUCCAGGGAGGGACAAUAAAGCCAGUCCCGGGCAGAAAAAAUCACAAGGCGUGGCUCUCCCGGGCCACCCCACGCCCGUGACGCGGACACGGAGGCUCUUCCCACGCCCGUUUUGGCGGAAAUCGAGGCAUUUUCCGCCCUGGGACGGACUCAUCCCCUUCACCUGGGAGCUUCAGCCGCAGGUAACUAUUCCAGGGCUGGAGAACCCGGCGGCAGCGGGGAUUACCCCUCAAAGGAGCCAGAGCAUCACA
rnacentral:lncRNA from 1 species